UACGGGGGGAGCAAGCGUUGUUCGGAUUUACUGGGCGUAAAGGGCGCGUAGGCGGCGCAACAAGUCACUUGUGAAAUCUCCGGGCUUAACCCGGAGCGGUCAAGUGAUACUGUCGUGCUAGAGUGCGGAAGGGGCUACUGGAAUUCUCGGUGUAGCGGUGAAAUGCGUAGAUAUCGAGAGGAACACCUGCGGCGAAGGCGGGUUGCUGGGCCGACACUGACG
rnacentral:rRNA from 1 species